UGCCCCAUGGCUGAGUUGGUUACAGCGUCCGACUGUUAUAAUAACUCAGAAGAGAAAGAGAGACAAUCGGAAGGUCGUGAGUUCGAGCCUCACUGGGGCAG
rnacentral:tRNA from 1 species